GACGAAGGUGGCGACCGUUGUUCGGAAUCACUGGGCAUAAAGAGCACGUAGGCGGCAAGGUAUGUCGGGUGUGAAAUCCCUCGGCCUAACCGAGGAAUUGCGCCCGAAACUACCGUGCUUGAGGAUGGAAGGGGAGCGUGGAAUUCCUGGUGGAGCGGUGAAAUGCGUUGAUAUCAGGAGGAACACCGGCGGCGAAGGCGACGCUCUGGUCCAUUACUGACGCUGAGGUGCGAAAGCCAGGGGAGCAAACGGG
rnacentral:rRNA from 1 species